rnacentral:rRNA from 1 species
AACGAACGCUGGCGGCAUGCCUAACACAUGCAAGUCGAACGAUUGCCUUCGGGUGAUAGUGGCGCACGGGUGCGUAACGCGUGGGAAUCUGCCCUUAGGUUCGGAAUAACAGCUGGAAACGUCUGCUAAUACCGGAUGAUAUCGUGAGAUCAAAGAUUUAUCGCCUGAGGAUGAGCCCGCGUUGGAUUCGGUUGUUGUUGGGGUAAAGGCCUUCCAAGCCGACGAUCCCUAUCUGGUCUGUGAGGAUGAUCAGCCACACUGGUACUGAGACACGGCCCAGACUCCUACGGGAGGCAGCAGUGGGGAAUAUUGGACCAUGGGCGCAAGCAUGAACCAGCAAUGCCGCGUGAGUGAUGAAGGCCCUAGGGUUGUAAAGCUCUUUUACCCGGGAAGAUAAUGACUGUACCGGGAGAAUAAGCCCCGGCUAACUACGUG